AGAGUUUGAUCCUGGCUCAGGAUGAACGCUGGCGGCGUGCUUAACACAUUCAAGUCGAACGGACGAGUCAAGAGCUUGCUCUUGACAAGUCAGUGGCGGACGGGUGAGUAAUGCGUGAGCAACCUGCCUUUCAGAGGGGGAUAACACAGGGAAACUUGUGCUAAUACCGCAUGAAACGAUAGAGUCGCAUGGUUCUGUCGUCAAAGGAGCGAUCCGCUGAAAGAUGGGCUCACGUCCGAUUAGGUAGUUGGUGGGGUAACGGCUCACCAAGCCGACGAUCGGUAGCCGGACUGAGAGGUUGAACGGCCACAUUGGAACUGAGAUACGGUCCAGACUCCUACGGGAGGCAGCAGUGGGGAAUUUUGCGCAAUGGGCGAAAGCCUGACGCAGCAACGCCGCGUGCGGGACGAAGGCCUUCGGGUCGUAAACCGCUUUCAGGGGGGAAGAAACUGACGGUACCCCCAGAAGAAGCCCCGGCUAACUACGUGCCAGCAGCCGCGGUAAUACGUAGGGGGCGAGCGUUAUCCGGAUUCAUUGGGCGUAAAGCGCGCGUAGGCGGCUCGCUAAGCGGGACCUCUAAUCUUGGGGCUCAACCCCAAGCCGGGUCCCGAACUGGCGGGCUCGAGUGCGGUAGGGGCAGGCGGAAUUCCCGGUGUAGCGGUGAAAUGCGUUGAUAUCCUAUAGAACACCGGAGGCGAAGGCGGAUUCCUUGAACAGCACUGACGCUGAGGCGCGAAAGUCGGGGGAGCAAACAGGAUUAGAUACCCUGGUAGUCCCGACCUUAAACGGUGCACAAAACGGGGUGGGGCCAUUUCACCGGCCCCGUCCCUUAGCUAACGCGUUAAGUGUGCCGCCUGGGGAGUACGGCCGCAAGGCUAAAACUCAAAGAAAUUGACGGGGGCCCGCACAAGCAGAGGAGCAUGUGGCUUAAUUCGAUGCAACGCGAAGAACCUUACCUGGAUUUGACAUCGUCGGCAAUGCCCUGUGAAAGCAGGGCGGAGGUUAUCCGAUAGACAGGUGCUGCAUGGCUGUCGUCAGUUCGUGCCGUGAGGUGUUUGGUUAAGUCCACCAACGAACGCAACCCCUUUGGUAUGUUGCCAUCAGGUAAAGCUGGGAACUCGUACCAUACUGCCUGUUUACGCAGGAGGAAGGUGGGGAUGACGUCAAGUCAGUAUGGCCCUUACAUCCAGGGCUGCACACGUGCUACAAUGGCCGGUACAGAGGGACGCGAGACCGCAAGGUGGAGCCAAUCCCAGAGAGCCGGCCUCAGUUCAGAUCGGGGUCUGCAACCCGACCCCGUGAAGUCGGAUUUGCUAGUAACGGCGUAUCAGCUACGACGCCGUGAAUGCGUUCCCGGGCCUUGUACACACCGCCCGUCAAG
rnacentral:rRNA from 1 species